rnacentral:rRNA from 1 species
UACGAAGGGUGCAAGCGUUACUCGGAAUUACUGGGGCGUAAAAGCGUGCGUAGGUGGUGAGUUAAGUCUGUCGUGAAAGCCCCGGGCUCAACCUGGGAAUGGCGAUGGAUACUGGCUCGCUAGAGUGCGGUAGAGGAGAGUGGAAUUCCCGGUGUAGCAGUGAAAUGCGUAGAGAUCGGGAGGAACAUCAGUUGCGGAAGGCGGCUCUCUGGACCAGCACUGACACUGAGGCACGAAAAGCGUGGGGGAGCAAACAGG